GGGGGCCUACGGGAGGCAGCAGUGGGGAAUAUUGGACAAUGGGCGCAAGCCUGAUCCAGCCAUGCCGCGUGAGUGAUGAAGGCCCUAGGGUUGUAAAGCUCUUUCACCG
rnacentral:rRNA from 1 species